rnacentral:lncRNA from 1 species
AACCACCGUUGCCGCGAUAUAACGUAAGACUUGCCUCCAGAAGACGGCUUUAGUGACAAAAGGCAAAAGGCUGUAGACCCUCCAUGUCCUGUGAGCACAAGAAAAGGAACGCUCACUCACAGGGUCCCCUGCGUGGAGAGAGGGCGCAGAGCAAACCAUGUCACGCCAUCCAAUGACACCAGCUGGUCAGCUCACCACCCCCUCUGGCUGAAACUCAAACGAAUCAAGCCGCUUCCUGUCAUUAAGCAUCUCGGAGGAAGCAGCCCUCCCUCGGUGGCCUCCAGCCCAGAGAAGCCCGCACGUCUUGGACCUACCAAGCGGCCCAGCCUUCUUGCGGCCACCGUCUCUGCUUUUUCCCCAGAGGAACUUAGGGAUUUCGCCCCUGGUUUUAGAACAACAAGACACCGACAAGCCACAAGGACCAACGUAGGUACUCUCCCCGCUCCAUCUUCGAGGCUCAGAGGGUGAGGCUGGAAGAUGAUACGAAUUUGAAAACAAACAUCUUUUUUUAGUCAUUUUAAAAACUGCUGUGGUUUUGCUGCUACACGAAGAAUUGUGAUUUUGCAUUGUACGGUUUGGGACCUGUACUGUCCACGUUUCGAAGGCGGAGAGGGAUCGUCCUGGGGUCCCAACACUUCAGCGUCGUCUCUGUCCUGCCCAGGAUGCACUUUUAAAUGAAGAGUUAGAAUAUUUUAUUGGCUGAUAUACUUUUCUUGUUAUUUUUACAAAGGCCACCUUUAUCCUUUUUAAUGCCAUAUUUUCAGUGUUACACUUUUAUGGCUUUUAAUUUUCGAUUUGACAGAUGUAAGAAGCAGCAUGAAUAGUUUAUACUGUGGUUUUUCAGAGACUGAAUGCCAAGAGAACUCGGUAAAUGUUUAUUCUUCUCAGCUUUCUCUUUAAAUUCUCCUAAAUAGCGCCCCAUUUGGGAACAGAGCAAGAGUGUUGAACUGAAGACCAAAAUGCCCUCAAGGUGUAAAACAAUCUGAGGGGGACUGUUUGCUGGGCGUCACGAAAGACUUGGAUGAAAUUUCAACCCUGAUGGUUUUCGGUGAUCCAGGAAGUCAGUGAAGCAAUCUCUCUCUACGCAGAGUCCUUUCAUGAUAAUUAGAAUGGUAUGGACGAACCAGUGGAAACAAGAGGGAAAGUGAGAAAGAUCGCCCGUGAUUCUGUUUCACUGUUUGCUUUCUCCUGUCAUGGUUAAGAGAAAUGUGCAAUUCGAUCCUCGGUCAGUGGGUGGAGGAUAACAGGGUAGAUUUUCUUGUGUGCACUUGUAUGGUCGUAGCUGCGAGUCCAGAAGUCCUCGAGAGCAUGUGUACUGACACUGAGUUGGUGAGACAGUCGUGGAGUAUCCCAUUCUG